CAACCUUCCGUACACUCAGGGAUAGCCUUUCGAAAGAAAGAUUAAUACCUGAUGGUAUCUUAAGCACACAUGUAAUUAAGAUUAAAGAUUUAUCGGUGUACGAUGGGGAUGCGUUCCAUUAGGUAGUAGGCGGGGUAACGGCCCACCUAGCCUACGAUGGAUAGGGGUUCUGAGAGGAAGGUCCCCCACAUUGGAACUGAGACACGGUCCAAACUCCUACGGGAGGCAGCAGUGAGGAAUAUUGGUCAAUGGACGAGAGUCUGAACCAGCCAAGUAGCGUGAAGGAUGAAGGUCCUACGGAUUGUAAACUUCUUUUAUAAGGGAAUAAAACCUCCCACGUGUGGGAGCUUGUAUGUACCUUAUGAAUAAGCAUCGGCUAACUCCGUGCCAGCAGCCGCGGUAAUACGGAGGAUGCGAGCGUUAUCCGGAUUUAUUGGGUUUAAAGGGAGCGCAGACGGGUCGUUAAGUCAGCUGUGAAAGUUUGGGGCUCAACCUUAAAAUUGCAGUUGAUACUGGCGUCCUUGAGUGCGGUUGAGGUGUGCGGAAUUCGUGGUGUAGCGGUGAAAUGCUUAGAUAUCACGAAGAACUCCGAUUG
rnacentral:rRNA from 1 species